GAUGAACGCUGGCGGCGUGCCUAAUACAUGCAAGUCGAGCGAACAGAUGAGGAGCUUGCUCCUCUGACGUUAGCGGCGGACGGGUGAGUAACACGUGGAUAACCUACCUAUAAGACUGGGAUAACUUCGGGAAACCGGAGCUAAUACCGGAUAAUAUAUUGAACCGCAUGGUUCAAUAGUGAAAGACGGUUUUGCUGUCACUUAUAGAUGGAUCCGCGCCGCAUUAGCUAGUUGGUAAGGUAACGGCUUACCAAGGCAACGAUGCGUAGCCGACCUGAGAGGGGGAUCGGCCACACUGGAACUGAGAGACGGUCCAGACUCCUACGGGAGGCAGCAGUAGGGAAUCUUCCGCAAUGGGCGAAAGCCUGACGGAGCAACGCCGCGUGAGUGAUGAAGGUCUUCGGAUCGUAAAACUCUGUUAUUAGGGAAGAACAAAUGUGUAAGUAACUAUGCACGUCUGGACGGUACCUAAUCAGAAAGCCACGGCUAACUACGU
rnacentral:rRNA from 1 species